AAGAACGCCCUGAGUUUUUUAGAAUUCUCAUCAACAUGGUGGCGUCUAUCUCAGUUAUAAGAAAUUCUCAUAAUUGUCUCCUCGUGGACUUCUCCCCUUCCAAAGCUCCUCCAGAAAAAAACAAAUGAGUGAAGACCUGAAGUGACAGAACACAAAAAAUGGAAGAACUAUGAGCUGUUGGCUGUGCUCCUCUUCACAUGGACAGCAGAACAACUCUCACAAAGGGAAGUGUAUCUACAGCAGGAAUACAUGGCCCCCUGUGUUCUGGCAUGACACCUGCAGAAAAUACCCUUCACAAAGCACAGCAAGCCACAUCCUUUUAUCCUUUACAGGCGCAUUUUCUUGAGCAACAACUUGAAGUGCUGCAAUUUGUUUUCUCUAAAUGUCAAUAGUGAUAAUGGGGUUUCCGCCACUAGCUGCCUUAAUAAAUUGCUCCUACAGUUACUGAAGGUAGGAUGGAAGGAGCAUAACUGAAGAGUAACACUCAUCUCACAGUACAAAUGUAAAUCCACUGAUGUAAUCCACUGUAAAUCCACUUCCUUGUUCUGGAAGUUCUGUCAUUGAUCUAUAUUCAGUUUUUACUCAGCUUUUGCUGAAGAUAGAAGAAAUUCCAUUCUUUACAGUGAUUUGUUUGAACUAGACCUACAAUUCUGACUUUCUUUUAAUACAAUAAACUUCAAUAUUCACUGACUCCACAA